CCCUUAGAUGUCCUGGGCCGCACGCGUGCUACACUGGCGCCUACAGCGAGUACUUCCCAGCCCCGAGAGGUGGCUGGUAAUCAGCAAUAGGCGUCGUGAUGGGGAUAGAUCUUUGGAAUUAUGGAUCUUGAACGAGGAAUGCCUAGUAAGCGCAGGUCAUUAGCCUGCGUUGAUUAAGUCCCUGCCCUUUGUACACACCGCCCGUCGCUCCUACCGAUUUCGAGUGGUCCGGUGAAUCUUUCGGACUGCGCGCGGCUUCGUGCCGUGUCGCGGAAAGUCAGGUAAACCUUAUCACUUAGAGGAAGGAGAAGUCGUAACA
rnacentral:rRNA from 1 species